rfam:Triticum aestivum genome assembly, contig: Triticum_aestivum_CS42_TGACv1_scaffold_179561_2DS
GUCCGGUUUCCUCCGUCCGAAAAUACUUGUCAUCAAAAUGGAUAGAAAGAGAUGUAUCUAAAACUAAAAUAUGUCUAAAUAUUUUUUUUUAUCCAUUUCGAUGACAAAUAUUUUCGGACGAAGGGAGUAUAAA